rnacentral:rRNA from 1 species
AACUUUCAACAACGGAUCUCUUGGUUCCGGCAUCGAUGAAGAACGCAGCGAAAUGCGAUAAGUAAUGUGGACCGCAGUACUCAG